rnacentral:rRNA from 1 species
GACGAACGCUGGCGGCGUGCUUAACACAUGCAAGUCGAACGGAAAGGCGCUGCUUUUGUGGGGUGCUCGUUUGGCGAACGGGUGAGUAACACGUGAGUAAACUGCCCUUGUCUUUGGGAUAACUUCAGGAAACUGGGGCUAAUACCGGAUAGGAGCUCCUGCUGCAUGGUGGGGGUUGGAAAGUUCCGGCGUUUGGGGAUGGAUUCGCGGCUUAUCAGCUUGUUGGUGGGGUAGUGGCUUACCAAGGCUUUGACGGGUAGCCGGCCUGAGAGGGUGACCGGCCACAUUGGGACUGAGGUACGGCCCAGACUCCUACGGGAGGCAGCAGUGGGGAACCUUGCACAAUGGGCGGAAGCCUGAGGCAGCAACGCCGCGUGCGGGAUGACGGCCUUCGGGUUGUAAACCGCUUUCGCCUGUGACGAAGCGUGAGUGACGGUAAUGAGUAAAGAAGCACCGGCUAACUACGUG